UACAGAGGGGGCAAGCGUUGUUCGGAAUUACUGGGCGUAAAGCGCGUGUAGGCGGGCCAUUAAGUUGGGGGUGAAAUCCCGGAGCUCAACUCCGGAACUGCCUCCAAAACUGGUGGCCUGGAGCAGAGGAGAGGCGAGCGGAAUUCCGAGUGUAGAGGUGAAAUUCGUAGAUAUUCGGAGGAACACCAGUGGCGAAGGCGGCUCGCUGGACUCUUGCUGACGCUGAGGUGCGAAAGCGUGGGGAGCAAACAGG
rnacentral:rRNA from 1 species